rnacentral:lncRNA from 1 species
CUUGAACUUCCUCUGAACGGUUAGAAAAGGUGCAUGUUUGCAUGUGUAUCUCUGUGCUGCCUGCUGGCAUCCUGUUCAGGCCCCGCUGUGGUUUGCAUGAUUCAGAGGCAAUGAUGACAAAGUGUCAGAGAACAAAAAACUCAGUUUAGGUGGAGCUGGACCUUUACAAUCAACCAAAGUAGACCGGACUGAAAGAUGCGCACUUACUGUGUACUUCUACACAUUUUUGCUGCUCUGCUCUUGUGUGAUUAUGGGAUGUUCUCCACACCAUCACCAUCUCCUUCAGAGAUGUCCACCACUGCAAUAUCAGCCACAUCCGACUCUAACACUGUGACAACAACAGGAUCAAUAACUGUCGGGAAUGACUCGAGCUCGUUAGAGACUGGCUUAGAGGAUGAAUGGCCCGUUGAUUCAAAUGAUACAGCUGAGAGCAGUGGAGACUCUUCUGACAAUGAAUCUAAAAGUCUGAAUGGAAGCAUCAGUGGAGUGAUCUCUUCAACUACACAUCCAGCGAGCACCACACGCAACGUGAAGCACCUUACUACUAAACAAAAAAUAGAUUCAGAAUCGGUGACAGGAGGUGAGCUUGACUCUCUGCACAUCGCAGCGUCUGCUUUGCUGAAGAUAGGAAACACAUCCUUUCUUCCUGUCGUAAUGUUUCUGCACACUCGACUCUGAAACUAUCUCUAUUUUCACAUUAAAACCACGUUCAUGUGCUAAAAUAAUGCCUAUUCUCUUUAUAAACUGAAAACCACAACAUCAAAUCUCUGUAUGUUGUUGCCAGGUAUCAUCAUUUUGAUCAUCAUCCUGAUCCUGAUUUGUUUUCUGCUUGGCAUUUUAUAUAUUCUGAGAAAGAAAGCAAGGAGUUACUCAUUUGAUUUGACUCGUGUCGAUGGACCUGGCAAUGAUUAUGACACCCCGCUCAGGAGCGACCAACAAGGCCUAAGCUAUGAACAAACCAACAAAGAUCUGCCUGUGUCUUUAAAUUACAUCCAAGAAGACAAGUCUGAGGAAAAGACUAAUCCGAUAGCAAAUGGGUCUGCAGGAGAGAAAACUGAACAAACACCGACCAAUGAAAAUGAUGAGCAGAAUGUUCCAGAAGAGAACAGUUUCUCUUCAAACUCGAGCUUGUCUAUGCCAGUGAAGAAAGUGGAGUUUAACCUGGACCUGGAUCUGCUUGGAAGUGAAUCUGAAUUAAGUGCUCAGACCGAAGCUGAAGCCACAGAUGCGGCACAAAAUGAAAACAACAAUAACGUCAGUAAUGCUGGGCGAGGAACAGCAGAAGAGAUCUUCACUGAAAUCAGUCUAGACGAGCCAAAGGAGCAUGCAUAGCAUGUGUUUCCCAUGCAACAAUCAAGAUCUCUGGUCUUUGGUACCUAGAUUCAACUCUAUCUGUUCAAGAUGCCUUGAUCCGGACUAUAUGAGUGCUAAAGCGUCCUUUUGACAUUCUCACUUCGAGUGCUGUUUCAUGUACUGUUAAAAGAGAUUGUAUACUGUACAUAAAAAAAUGACAUUUAAUCAUUAAAGUUUAUGUAAAAAAUGUUAUGCAAUGUAGAAUGCACUUGUGUGUGUGUAUGUUUUUGACUGACGCUCUCUGUUAAAGGGACAGUUCGCCCACAAAUGAAAAUUAAGUCAUCGUUUACUCACCCUUGUGCCCUUCUAAUGCCAUAUGGCCAUCAUUUUUUUUCUGAACACAAAAGGAGUUUUUUUUUUUUUUUUUUAAAUGUUUUCAUGUUUUCAUGUUUUCAAUGUAUUUCAUGUGCGCUCGUCCAUAUAAUGGCAGACAGUGCUGGGUAGAUUACAAAUUGCAUGAUAAAAAUUGUAGUCAGUAAUGUCAUUUAGAUUACUAAUUUUAGGUAAUGCAUUCUGACUGCUAUUGGAUUACUUUUAGAUGACUUAUAACCUAACUUGUUUCUAGAUUUAAAUUGGAUUAUUGUUAUUAUUAUAGAAAACAAAACAAAUGUAUGACUAUUAAACAACAUCAGUGAAC